UUAUAUUCUCCACCGGGGGGGAUGAGAACCCCCGACCGGGGUUCGACAACUGGCAACGCCAGUUGGACAGACCGCGAGCCUGCGAGCGGGCUGCCCCGCAGGGGCGAGCGAAGCGAGUCAAUCCCCCCUCACCGCCA
rnacentral:sRNA from 1 species